rnacentral:tRNA from 1 species
GUGGAAGUCAUCAGUUCGAGCCUGAUUAUCCCUA